rnacentral:rRNA from 1 species
UUAAGUCAGGCAACGAGCGAGACCCACGCCCACAGUUGCCAGCGUACUCUCUGGAGUGACGGGUACACUGUGGGGACCGCCGCUGCUAAAGCGGAGGAAGGAAUGGGCAACGGCAGGUCAGUAUGCCCCGAAACCCUCGGGCCACACGCGGGCUGCAAUGGUAAGGACAAUAAGUUCCUAGUCCGAAAGGAGGAGGUAAUCUCCAAACCUUACCUCAGUUAUGAUUGAGGGCUGAAACUCGCCCUCAUGAAUAUGGAAUCCCUAGUAAUCGCGUGUCACUAUCGCGCGGUGAAUACGUCCCUGCUCCUUGCACA